CGACCAAAUUGAUGGCCUCAGAGUUGCCUGUCCUGUCUCUGAAUACAACCACAUCUUUAAGUACUGGAGUUAAGAGCUUCCGUUGAAGAUCUUUAGGUGGACCUAAUUCAGUCCAACGCUGAUGUGAGAUACACAUGCUUUGGCUGAAGAAGAUGCUUGACUCCAUGCAGUACCAAGUCAC